AUUGAACGCUGGCGGCAGGCCUAACACAUGCAAGUCGAGCGGAGCGGCGGACGGGUGAGUAAUGCCUAGGAAUCUGCCUGGUAGUGGGGGAUAACGUCCGGAAACGGGCGCUAAUCCCGCAUACUAUCCGAUGACCCCAGGUCGGCUUAGCUAGGUGGUGGGGUAAAGGCCUACCAAGGCAACGAUCCGUAACUGGUCUGAGAGGAUGAUCAGUCACACUUGAACGGAGACACAGUCCAGACUCCUACGGGAGGCAGCAGUGGGGAAUAUUGGACAAUGGGCGAAAGCCUGAUCCAGCCAUGCCGCGUGUGUGAAGAAGGUAUUCGGAUUGUAAAGCACUUUAAGUUGGGAGGCGUUACCAACAGAAUAAGCACCGGCUAACUUCGUGCCAGCAGCCGCGGUAAUAC
rnacentral:rRNA from 1 species